AUACUUAACCUGGCAGGGGAGUAUUGGUGGCCAUGAUGACCGUGCACCCAGGAUGAGGCUAUCCCAUUGCACUUAGGGCUGAAGCCUGCGAUGUCCCCAAAUGUGGGAUACUCGACUGCAAAGUUUGUGGUAGUGGGGGGACUGCAUUUACACUUUUUUG